CAUAUGUGGUGUGUCCUGCGAUUUCAAUCAGACCAAGGAGGAGGUCUCAAGCUUCAACCCUAAAACACAAAAAUUCACCAAAUUGAAGGGGCAAAUCAAGCCCAAAUCGAAAUCCAAGCAUAGAUUAGUGAUCACCUCAGUGAAGGGUUCAUGAGGAAAAGGAGCCGAGUCUUCAAGCGGACACGCGCUUGAAAGGAACACUUUGAAGGUUAAUGUCAAGGAUUCCCGGAUGAAGAUCAAGCUCAACGAAGAACCGAACACGACCAAGAUACAAGCUUCCGCACUGCGCUGCGUCGUAACUUUUAAACGACGAACUUAUAUACAAUAUGUUAUCAAACUUUUAAAUUUUAAAAGUUUUUAGUAAACCCGUAUUUUACAUAUAUGUGUAUUUGUAAGAACACAAUUAAUUGUCG